rnacentral:rRNA from 1 species
CAGCAGCCGCGGUAACACGUAGGGCGCAAGCGUUAUCCGGAAUUAUUGGGCGUAAAGAGCUCGUAGGCGGUUUGUCGCGUCUGCCGUGAAAGUCCGGGGCUCAACCCCGGAUCUGCGGUGGGUACGGGCAGACUAGAGUGAUGUAGGGGAGACUGGAAUUCCUGGUGUAGCGGUGAAAUGCGCAGAUAUCAGGAGGAACACCGAUGGCGAAGGCAGGUCUCUGGGCAUUAACUGACGCUGAGGAGCGAAAGCAUGGGGAGCGAACAGGAUUAGAUACCCCUGUAGUCCCUGUCUCUUAUAC